UCUGGAGGCAAUAGCGCGGUGGUCCCACCUGACCCCAUGCCGAACUCAGCAGUGAAACGCCGUAGCGCCGAUGGUAGUGUGGGGUCUACAUGUGAGAGUAGGGAACUGCCAGAC
rnacentral:rRNA from 1 species